rnacentral:rRNA from 1 species
UACGUAGGGGGCAAGCGUUGUCCGGAUUUAUUGGGCGUAAAGAGCGUGUAGGCGGCCAGACAGGUCAGCUGUGAAAACUCGAGGCUCAACCUCGAGACGUCGGUUGAAACCGUAUGGCUAGAGUCCGGAAGAGGAGAGUGGAAUUCCUGGUGUAGCGGUGAAAUGCGCAGAUAUCAGGAAGAACACCCGUGGCGAAGGCGGCUCUCUGGGACGGUACUGACGCUGAGACGCGAAAGCGUGGGGAGCGAACAGG